rnacentral:misc_RNA from 1 species
AAAAAAAACACUUGAAAACCUGUUAUUGCAGGUUAAAGGGACUUUUUCUGUAAUAAAACUGAAGUUUAAGGAUUUUAUUUUAACAAAAUGAAGUUGAGUGACUGAAAUGAAAUAACUACCAAAGUUGAGGAAUGGUCGGUGUAGUUUAUCCUUAAUUGUCCUAUAGUAUUUGCUUUUAUAAGUUUAUAGGCUGUGAUGGCUUAGGGAUGAUUGUGGA